CCCGAGUACUCGGGACGACAUGUGGGAAGACGUCAAUGACGUCUUCCCGAAUCGCAAG
rnacentral:ncRNA from 1 species